AGAGUUUGAUCCUGGCUCAGGAUGAACGCUGGCGGCGUGCUUAACACAUGCAAGUCGAACGAAGCGCCCCGGAACAAUUCUUCGGAAGAGAGAAAGGGCGACUUAGUGGCGGACGGGUGAGUAACGCGUGGGCAACCUGCCCUGCACAGGGGGAUAACAGUUGGAAACGACCGCUAAUACCGCAUAAGCCGACGAAGCCGCAUGGCUUAGCCGGAAAAGAUUUAUCGGUGCAGGAUGGACCCGCGUCUGAUUAGCCAGUUGGCAGGGUAACGGCCUACCAAAGCGACGAUCAGUAGCCGGCCUGAGAGGGUGAACGGCCACAUUGGGACUGAGACACGGCCCAAACUCCUACGGGAGGCAGCAGUGGGGAAUAUUGCACAAUGGGGGAAACCCUGAUGCAGCGACGCCGCGUGGGUGAAGAAGUAUUUCGGUAUGUAAAGCCCUAUCAGCAAGGAAGAAAAUGACGGUACCUGACUAAGAAGCCCCGGCUAACUACGUGCCAGCAGCCGCGGUAAUACGUAGGGGGCAAGCGUUAUCCGGAUUUACUGGGUGUAAAGGGAGCGUAGACGGCGCGGCAAGUCAGAAGUGAAAGCUCGGGGCCCAACCCCGGAACUGCUUUUGAAACUGCCGUGCUGGAGUACUGGAGAGGUAAGCGGAAUUCCUGGUGUAGCGGUGAAAUGCGUAGAUAUCAGGAGGAACACCAGUGGCGAAGGCGGCUUACUGGACAGUAACUGACGUUGAGGCUCGAAAGCGUGGGGAGCAAACAGGAUUAGAUACCCUGGUAGUCCACGCCGUAAACG
rnacentral:rRNA from 1 species